rnacentral:rRNA from 1 species
GGAAUCUUCGGCAAUGGACGAAAGUCUGACCGAGCAACGCCGCGUGAGUGAAGAAGGUUUUCGGAUCGUAAAACUCUGUUGGUAGAGAAGAAUGACAUUGAGAGUAACUGUUCAAUGUGUGACGGUAUCUUACCAGAAAGGAACGGCUAAAUACGUGCCAC